AUGAACGCUGGCGGCGUGCCUAAUACAUGCAAUGCAAGUCGAGCGAAUGGAUUAAGAGCUUGCUCUUAUGAAGUUAGCGGCGGACGGGUGAGUAACACGUGGGUAACCUGCCCAUAAGACUGGGAUAACUCCGGGAAACCGGGGCUAAUACCGGAUAACAUUUUGAACCGCAUGGUUCGAAAUUGAAAGGCGGGCUUCGGCUGUCACUUAUGGAUGGACCCGCGUCGCAUUAGCUAGUUGGUGAGGUAACGGCUCACCAAGGCAACGAUGCGUAGCCGACCUGAGAGGGUGAUCGGCCACACUGGGACUGAGACACGGCCCAGACUCCUACGGGAGGCAGCAGUAGGGAAUCUUCCGCAAUGGACGAAAGUCUGACGGAGCAACGCCGCGUGAGUGAUGAAGGCUUUCGGGUCGUAAAACUCUGUUGUUAGGGAAGAACAAGUGCUAGUUGAAUAAGCUGGCACCUUGACGGUACCUAACCAGAAAGCCACGGCUAACUACGUGCCAGCAGCCGCGGUAAU
rnacentral:rRNA from 1 species